GUGGGGAAUAUUGGACAAUGGGCGAAAGCCUGAUCCAGCCAUGCCGCGUGUGUGAAGAAGGUCUUCGGAUUGUAAAGCACUUUAAGUUGGGAGGAAGGGCAUUAACCUAAUACGUUAGUGUUUUGACGUUACCAACAGAAUAAGCACCGGCUAACUUCGUGCCAGCAGCCGCGGUAAUACGAAGGGUGCAAGCGUUAAUCGGAAUUACUGGGCGUAAAGCGCGCGUAGGUGGUUCAGCAAGUUGAAGGUGAAAUCCCCGGGCUCAACCUGGGAACUGCCUCCAAAACUACUGAGCUAGAGUACGGUAGAGGGUAGUGGAAUUUCCUGUGUAGCGGUGAAAUGCGUAGAUAUAGGAAGGAACACCAGUGGCGAAGGCGACUACCUGGACUGAUACUGACACUGAGGUGCGAAAGCGUGGGGAGCAAACAGGAUUAGAAACCCCAGUAGUCC
rnacentral:rRNA from 1 species